rnacentral:rRNA from 1 species
AUUGAACGCUGGCGGCAGGCCUAACACAUGCAAGUCGAACGGUAACAGGAAGCAGCUUGCUGCUUUGCUGACGAGUGGCGGACGGGUGAGUAAUGUCUGGGAAACUGCCCGAUGGAGGGGGAUAACUACUGGAAACGGUAGCUAAUACCGCAUAACGUCGCAAGACCAAAGAGGGGGACCUUAGGGCCUCUUGCCAUCGGAUGUGCCCAGAUGGGAUUAGCUAGUAGGUGGGGUAACGGCUCACCUAGGCGACGAUCCCUAGCUGGCCUGGGAGGAUGACCAGCCACACUGGAACUGAGACACGGUCCAGACUCCUACGGGAGGCAGCAGUGGGGAAUAUUGCACAAUGGGCGCAAGCCUGAUGCAGCCAUGCCGCGUGUAUGAAGAAGGCCUUCGGGUUGUAAAGUACUUUCAGCGGGGAGGAAGGGAGUAAAGUUAAUACCUUUGCUCAUUGACGUUACCCGCAGAAGAAGCACCGGCUAACUCCGUG